rnacentral:rRNA from 1 species
CGUGUCGUGAGGUGUUGGGUUAAGUCCCGCAACGAGCGCAACCCUUAUUAUUAGUUGCCAGCAUUUAGUUGGGCACUCUAGCGAGACUGCCGGUGACAAACCGGAGGAAGGUGGGGAUGACGUCAAAUCAUCAUGCCCCUUAUGACCUGGGCUACACACGUGCUACAAUGGCAUAUACAACGAGUCGCCAACCCGCGAGGGUGCGCUAAUCUCUUAAAGUAUGUCUCAGUUCGGAUUGUAGGCUGCAACUCGCCUACAUGAAGUCGGAAUCGCUAGUAAUCGCGGAUCAGCACGCCGCGGUGAAUACGUUCCCGGGUCUUGUACACACCGCCCGUCACACCAUGAGAGUUUGUAACACCCAAAGCCGGUGGGGUAACCUUUUAGGAGCCAGCCGUCUAAGGUGGGACAGAUGAUUAGGGU